GACCUGUUGGAAAGCGGCGCGAUCGCAUUUCUAUUAGAGCCAUUCGCAUAGAGAGGCUCGUAAACCGUAGGACUGUGAGCCGCUAGGGGGCGAAGAAGAGACUUCAGGGGAGGAGGCGGCGGGGUUUUAACGCGGUGGCGUCACACACACAGAGGAGGCGGGUCUUACGAAGGAGAGCGAAGCAGAUGGCGAUUUCUGCUUCUGGGCCACCUGAAAAAUGGAUCAGUCGCCAUCCGCGGCAGCGGAGUCCAGUCCGCGGCCUGGCGCGGUGCUGAUUCUCUUUGUGAUGAUGUCAUUUAGAGAGGAACUUGGGUAAGAAGACUGCGAUGUUCCGCAUGCUUACAAGAAAAUCCAGUUGGGCUUCCUGACGAUGUUGCCAGCCAUUCAAGAUGUGAGCUCGGAUCACGUUGGAUCCAGCAGCGCUGAGUGAAGUGGAUCCUUCUCUUGUGACCUUCUCAGACCACCACCUGGCAAUUAACCCACCUGACGGACUUAAGUCCUGGCACUGCCCAGCUCCGAAAAGUGUUUCAGCUUGGCGAAAGGUGAACAAUUUGCUCUCGGGAAUUGGUA